rnacentral:rRNA from 1 species
GCUAUCAAUCCAUUUCCCUAAAGGCACCAGAUCCUGUCUGAUCUUGGAAGCUAAGCAAGGUCAGCCCUGGCUAGUACUUGGAUGGGAGAUCACUAAUGGAUACGAGGUGCUGUAGGUU